UAUGAUGAUUCCAUAUUUGAUUUAGAUAAUACUGUUUUCUAUGUAUAGAAGAAAUAUUUGCAUGUCUUUUUUUUUUUUUUUUUUUGUCUUUUUCAUUCUACUACACAGUUAGUGAGACUGGAGGAGAAAAGCCUUAUCCAGCUGAAUUUCAUGAAUAGCAGUAAACAUAAGAAACACCAAGGGAAGAUUUCAAGAAUCCGUUUUAGCUUCAAGCUAUAUUCUUUGAUUGUUGUAAUAUUUCUUAGACUAUAUAUGGGGCUGAAGAUAUCCUUUCUUAAGUACUUCUAAUAAUUGAGACAGACUGUUCAUUCCUUUUUUUACUUUUGGAGGGGGGGUGUAUUAGUCCAUUUUCAUACUGCUAUGAAGAAAUACCUGUGAUUGGAUAAUUGAGAAAAAGAGUCUUAAUGGACUCACAGUUCCACAUGGCUGGGGAGGUUUCACCCUCGUAGCGGAAGGUAAAGGAAGAGCAAAGUCACAUCUUACAUGGUGGCAGGCAAAGGAGUGUGCAGGAAACUGCCCUUUAUAAAACCAUCAGAUCUCGUGAGACUUAUUCACUAUCACAAGAACAGCACAGGAAAACCUGCCCCCAUGAUUCAAUUACCUCCCACCAGGUCCCCCUCGACAAUGCGUGGAGAUUAUGGGAGCUACAAUUCAAGAUGAAAUUUGGGUGGGGACACAGCCAAACCAUAUCAGGGAGGAUGUCUGUCUGACACACUGAUGAUAAUACCUGUUAAUUUGGGAAAUGACUGGGACUCCUAUGUCAUCCUUAAAUUGUAUUCCAAGAAGCCAACUUUAUAUAACUGUUGGUCGUUGCUUAAAAGUUCAGGAGGAAGAAUUGUGUUUAUACAUAUCCUUACAGUAUUCAAUAUUUACACAUUUCCUUUGGUUCUGCAUUUACACCAGAUAAACAUUUUCUAACAAUAUCAAUAUAUUUGGAACAAAUUUUUUCUUCCCAUUUAUCUGUACUUCAAGGGUGAAAGUUAGGACAUGUGCCCCUCAGAGGCCUGGGCAUGGAAAGAAUCUUCAGUAUUACAGAAAAGAUACCUCUGAAUCAUUUCUAUUCGUUAUAAAUGUAGCAUAUUUGUGAUACUAAAAUGGAAACGCUUUUUUUAAAAAAACAUUUUCCCCACUCUCUCCACCCAGAGAAAACGAUGAACAUUUUAGCAUAUUCCUGCAAGUCUUUUACAAUAUAGAUUUAGCUGAUUUGUGACGUACUAUAUAACAACUUGCAUCACAGAGAUUUCUUCUGCCUCAAGUUUAACAGCAAUUUUCUCCUAUUUAAAACAUUGUAAAAAUCAUGUUUAAUGAUUGCGUAGCACAACAUCAUAUGGACAUAUAUUUUGCUUAAACUUUUUUUCUUUUUGGAUAUUUAUGUUCUUUUAAAGUUUUCACCACUAAAUACACAGUAAUGUCUAUAUUUUGAAUUGAGAAAGCUACUUUUUAGGAUUAUAUGGAACUCAAAACCAAUUAAGAAACUACACUUCUAGAACCUACUGUGUGUUGUUCAUGUGUGUUUAUAUGAACUGAGGUGACAAGGAGAGUUCUUUUACCCUGGAGGACAGUUGGGAAAGAUUAAGAGAAAGAAGUAUGUAAAAAUUACUCUUUUUUUUCCUUACAACUGAUGCUCAUUACAGCUUUUUCAAAUUGCCAUAGACACAAAAUGCAGUACCAAUGCAUUUAAUUUAAUUAGUCAGGUGUUUUUUGUGUUUGUUUUGGGGGUUGUUGUUUUUUUGUUUUGGAUUUGGUUUGUUUGUUUGUCUUGUUUUUGCUAUUAAUCAGUAAAAGUUGUUCUUUACAGGCCAGAUGAGCAGCAGCCACUAGUGGUUGUGUUGAUGCUGCAAGUUUUCACUGAUUUUAAAAUGGACUGUAUUUGCUACAGAGAACUCUGUAAGAUUUCUAAACACCGAGGAUUCUAUGGAGGGUCAUUGAAAAGUGUUAGAAAAAUUAGUGUCUAGAUGAGUCGUGAGUCAUUGCAUGAUCUCAUACAGAUGUGAAACAUCUCUGUCACUCUCUAGUACUAGAAGUGCAUUUACCAGUGCUCCUCAUCAAGCUUGGAAUGCUCUCUCUUCGUUUGCAUGUAUCCAAACCCAAAACGUCCAGCAAGACUCAAUUAAGUCCACUUCAUCUGACAGUCCCUCUUUGAGACAUAUGUUGUAGCCACCCUGCUCUGAAUAGUCCACCUGGAUGGCUUACUGGUGAUGCAAAUCCUACAUGCAUUCAUUAUACUCAUUAUUUCCUCCUCAAAAACUGACCCACUGCAGUUAGAAAAGUCAGGACAGAGCCAGAUGGCCUGGAGGUGCCAGUCUCUUAAUGGUGCUAAAAUGUCCCUGGAAGCUAGCAAGUUGAAAGUAAUAUACUUACCCGAAUUCUUCUCAGGGAGACUACUGUAUGAUGUUAAAAGAAAUGUUAUCACAAGCUACUUGGUUGGAUGGAUGGUGGUGACUGGUGAGAGAGACUUUGUAUAGCAUUCUAGAGUGACAGUAAAUGGUUAUAAAAUCUCCACCCCCAAUGGGUGUACAUUGCAGAUGUAAUUAGUCAAGAUGACAUAAUGCUAGAGUAGGAUGAGCCCCUUAUGCAAUUUGACUGGUGUCCUUAUUAGAAGACAGAGAUACACAGGGAAAAUGCGAUGUGAAGGCAGAGACAGAGAUUGGAAUGAUGAGGAGCCCAGGAAUCCCAAGGACUGCUGCUGUCAUUCGAGUAAUUGCACAGGUUUUGUUUUACUCAGUGAAGUAUUUAGGAGUUGGAGCAGAGCUAAAUUGCUCUGAGUAGUGGAGAAGAGGUGCAUCACUACCAGAGGAUCUUCCUUCUCCAAUCCUUCUAGAUCCUUCUAGAAUAGAAGCCUUCAGCCUCUAUUCUAAGUAAGUGUUGAAUAUUUAAAGGAUAUAAUAGUCAAAUUCUUUAAAGAUCAGGCAUGUAUCAUAAGUAAAUCUAGAGGUAAGGUAAUAGGGCAUGAUUGAGUCUCUGAAAAAGUGGAGCAAAUGCCGUUUACUCUUUAGUAAAUACAUUUCCGUUCAAAUAUUUUAAAAUCGUGUCAGCCAAAAAUUAAAAUUAAAAAAUGCCCACCUUUGUGCUAGUCAGCUCAUGGUGGACUGCAGUUGGGAUUUCUGGAUUAUUUUUUGAAAGAGUGCCUUGUGAAUGUCUUACCCACAGUGUCUGCAGGACCCUGGCAGGCCCAGUUUGGAAUCCUACUCAAGCCCUCCUCCUUAUCUGUAAGAGUUAAGGCUACUUUGGCUGAAAUUGACAACUCUGUUUCUUAAAGCAGGGUGGAGGAAAACAUGAAGAUGAGUCAAAAGGGGCAUGUACACUGACCCUUAAGAAAGGUUUGCAGAAGAUACUGUCACACAACACUUCUACCUUCACUUCUUGGGCCCACAUUUAUCCAUGUGGCCACAGCUGGGAAAAGCAGCCUCCUUUCUGGGUGGAAAUGUGCCAGCCAGAAAUCAGAACUCCAUUAGCAUGGAAAUGAGAUGUCGUGGAUGAAUUGUGUCCCCCAACAAGAUAUGUUGAAGUUCUAACCCCCAGUACCUCAGAAUGUGGCAUUAUUUGGAAACAGGGAUAUUGCAGAUAUAAUUAGUCAAGAUGACAUCAUACUGGAGUAAGGUGAGUCCCUUAUCUAAUAUGACUGGUGUCUUUAUAAAGAAACAGAAAAGGCCAGGUGCGAUAGUUCACACCUGUAAUCCCAGCACUUUGUGGGGCUGAGAUGGGUGGGGAUUGCCUGAUCUCAGGAGUUGGAGACCAGCCUGGGCAACGUGACAAAACCCCAUCUCUGCAAAAAAUACCAAAAUUAAGUGAGUGUGGUGGCACCUGCCUGCAGUCCCAGCUACUUGGGACUGAAGCGGGAGUCCUGAAGUCAGAGGAUUGCUUGAGCCCAGAAGGUGGAAGCUGCAGUGAAUUGGUUUUGUACCACUGCACUCUAGACUGGGUGACAAAAUGAGACUCUGUUGAAAGAAGAAGAAAGAGACAGACAGAGAGAGAGAGAGAAAAGGAAGAAGGAGAAGGAGAAGAGGAAGAGAAAGAGGAAGAAGAAGAAAAGAAGAAGAAGAAGAAGGAGGAGGAGGAGGAGGAGGAAGGAAAGAAAGAAAAGAAGGAAGGAAGGAAGGAAGGAAGGAAGGAAGGAAAGAAAAGAAAGAAAGAAAGAAAGAAAGAAAGAAAGAAAGAAAGAAAGAAAGAAAGAGAAAGAAAGAAGAAGAGGGGAGGAACAGAAAAGAAAGAAAAGAAAAAAGAAAAGAAAGAGAAAAAAGAAAAGAAGACAGAAACACACGGGAGAAACAUCAAGGACUGCCAGCUGUCAGUAGGAACAAGGAGAGAGGCAUGGAACAGAUUCUCCCGCACAGCCCCCACAAGUAACUAACCCCGCUGAAACUUUGAUUUCAGAGGUAUAUCCUCCAGAACUGAGAGACAAUAUGUUUCUGUCACUUCAGCCACCCAGUUUGUGGUACUUUGUUGUGGCAGCCCAAGCAGACUAAUGCAAGAGAGAAAGUAGAUAUUGGGAGACCACUAACAGUUGUUACCACAGUUUCCCAUCAAUAGUAUAAUUCCAGUAAUUUGUUCUCUGAAACGUUCCUCCAAUUUGAACCUUCAUGUCUAUUUUUCCUGCUGUUGCCCUAUUGAGUAAGCUCUACAUGGGAUUUGCCAUGAGAGAUGUCAGCACCAAGCUGCCCUGCCAAGUGCCAAAAGCCAGUUUAAAUUAUCUGUGACGCUAGCCAACUGAGAGCCCAGAGAACUCCAGCUUCCCUCGCCCGAGGUUUUUGUGUGAACAUAAACUUUCAAUUCAUUUGGAUAAACACCAGGGAACACAAUUGCCAGAUCAUAUGGUAAGAUUAUUUUCAGUGUUGUAAGAAACUGCCAAACUAUCUUCCAAAGUGGCUGUACUAUUUUGGAUUCCCAUGAGAAAAAAAUGAGAGUUCCUAUAUCUCCACAUCCUUAUCAGCAUUUGGUGUUGUCAAUGUUGCAUUUUAGCUGCUGUAAUUAGUAUAUAGUAGUAUCUCAUUGUUAUUUUAAUUUGAAAUUCCCUGCUGAGAUAUAAUGUAGAGUACCUUGUAUGCUUAUUUGCCAUCUGAAUGCCUUUUUUGGUGAGGUGUCUGUUCAGAUCUUUUGCCUAUUUUAAACUUGGGUUCGCUUUCUUACUGUUAUUUUAAGAGUUUGUUGUAUAUUUUCUAUAUGAAUUCUUCAACAGCUAUGUUUUGCAAAUAUUUUCUCCCAGUCUAUGGCUUGCUUAUAAUUUUCUUGACAGUGUCUUUUGCAGAGCAGAAGUGUUAAGUUUUAAGGAAGUCUCACUUAAAAUUUUUUUUCAUGGAUCAUGCAUUUGGUGUCUUAUCUAAAAACUCAUUUUCAAACCCAAGGUCACCUUGAUUUUCUCACUUUGACGUUGUUAUCUUCUAGAAGCUUUAUAGUUUUUCAUUUUAAAUUUAUGUCUAUGAUUCAUUUUGAGUUAAUUUUUGUGAAGGUGUAAGGUCUGUGUCCAGAUUAAUUUUUGUUACCACAUGGGUGUCCAGCUGUUCCAGCAUCAUUUGUUCAAAAGACUAUUUUUGCUCCAUUAUAUUGCCUCUGCUUCUUUGUCGAAGGUCAGUUGACUAUAUUUAUGUUGAUUUAUUGGCUCUCUGUUCUGUGAUAUUAAUGUAUUUAUUUUUUUCUCUAAUACUACAGCUGUUUUAAGGACUAUAUAGUACAUUUUGAAAUCAAGUAGUAUCGGUCCUCCAACUUUUGUUUGUGUUAGCUUUCUGGUUCUUUUGCCUUUUCAUAUCAACUUUUGAAAUAGCUUUCCAAAAUAACUUGCUGAUAUUUAACUGGGAUUGCAUUGAAUCUAUAUGCACAAUAGAAAGAACUGACAUUUUAACAAUACCGAGUCUUCUUACCCAUAAGCAUGAAUAUCUCACAAUUUAUUUAGAUCUCUGAUUUCUUUUAUCAGAAUUUUGUAGUUUUCCUCAUGUAGAUUUUAUGCAUAUUUUAUUAGACUUGUACCUAAAUAUCUCAUUUCUUUGGUGCUAAUGUAAAUGGUGUUUUGUUUUUCCUUUCCAAUUCCAAUUGUUUGUUGAUGUUUUAUAGAAAAAAUAGACUUUUGUCUAUUAAUCUUUUAUCCUGUAGUUUUUUUAAUCAUUCAUAAGUUCCAGAAGAUUUUUGGUUUGUUCUUUGGGAUUUUCUAUGUACACAAUCAUGAUACCUGUGAACAAAAACAGCUUUAUUUCUUCCUUCCUGAUCUGUAUACCUUUUAUUUCCUUUUUUACCUUAUUGAAUUAGCUAGGACUUCCAGUACAAUGUAGAAUAGGAGUGGUGGGAGGGGACAUUAUUGUCAUAUUCUUGAUCUUAGGGAGAGUAUUUAGUUACUCACCAUUAAGUAUGAUGUUUGCUGUAUGUUUUUUAAAGCUAUUCUUUGUCAAAUUGAAGACAUUCCCCUCUAUUCCCAGUUUGCUAAGUCUUUAUUAUGAAUGAGUGUUGGAUUUUGUGAAAUGCUUUUUUUGCAUCUAUUUAUAUAAUUAUAUGAUUUCUCUUCUUGUACCUAUUGAUGUGAUAGAUUACAUUAAUUGAUUUUUUAAUAUUGAAGAAGCAUGGCACACCUCAAAUAAAUCACACUUGAUCAUGUUGUAUAAUUCUUUUUCUACAUUGUUGGGUUCAAUUUGCUAAUAAUUUGUUGAGGAAUGUUGCUUGUAUUCAUGAGAGAUAUUGCUCUGUAGUUUUUUUUUUUUCCCCUUGUAAUGUCUUUUUCUGUUUUGGUAUCACAGUAAUAUUGCCCUGAUAGAAUGAGUUAAGAAGUAGUCUCUCUGCAUCUAUUUUAUGGAAGAGGUUGUAUAGAAUUUGUGUCAUUAAUUCCUUAAAUGUUUCAUAGGAUGUACUAGUGAUUCCUCCUGGCCUGGUUCCCCCUGUUUUAGAAGAUAUUAAUUAUUUAUUCAAUUUCUUUAAUAGAUAUAGGCCUCUUUAAAUUGUCUAUUCUGGUUGUGUGAAUUUUGAUACUGUGUCUUUCAAGGAGUUUGUUUAUUUCAUCUGGGUUAUCACAUUUGUGGGCAUAGAGUUGUUAAUAAUAUUCCUUUAUUAUUUUAAUGUCUAUGGGAUCAGUAGUGAUGACUUCUCUCUCAUUUGUGAUAUUAGUAACUUGUGUCUUCUCUCUUUUUUCUUGACUAGUGGGACUACAGACUUACCAAAUCUAUUGUCUUGUGAAAGAACUAGCUUUUGGUUUGCUGAUUUUCUUUAUUGUUUUCCAUUUCAUUGAUUUCUACUCUAAUUUUUAUUAUUUCUUCUGCUUACUUAGUAUUUAAUUUGGUCUUCUUUUUCUAAUUUUCUAAUUUGAGAGCUUAGAUUACUGACUGAUUUUAAGUGUCUCUUCUUCCCUAAAUAUGUAUUUAAUACCAUAAAUGUCCCCCUAAGCACUGCUUUCCCUACAUUCCAUAAAUUUGGAUAAGUUGUACUUUCAUUUUUUAUUUAGUUCAAAAUAUUUUUCAGUUUCUCUUGUGACUUCUUCUUUGACCCAUUUGUUGUUUAGAAUGUGUUGUUUACAAAAACUAUAAAAACUCUAGAAGAAAAUCUGCGCAAUACUAUUCAGGACAUAGGCACAGACAAAGAUUUCAUGACAAAAACACCAAAAGCCUUUGCAACGAAAGCAAAAAUUGUCAAAUGGGAUCUAAUUAAACUACAGAACUUCUGCACAGCAAAAGAAAUUAUCAUCAGAGAGAACAGACAACCUACAGCAUGGGAGAAAAAUUUUGCCAUCUAUCCAUCUGACAAAGGUCUAAUUUCCAGAGUCUACAAGGAACUUACACAAAUUUACAAAAAGAAAAAAACAUUAAAAAGUGGGCAAAGGACAUAAGCAGACACUUCUCAAAAGAAGACAUUCAUGCAGCCAGCAAACAUAUGAAGAAAAGCUCAACAUCACUGAUCAUUAGAGAAAUGCACACUGGGUGCAGUGUCUCUCACCUGUAAUCCCAGCACUUUGGAAGGCCAAGGCAGGCAGAUCACUUGAGAUCAGGAGUUUAAGACUAGCCUGGCAAACAUGGCAAAACCCUGUGUCUACUGAAAAUUACCUGGGCAUGGUGGUACAUGCUUAUAAUCCUAGCUACUUGGGAGGCGGAAGCAGGAGGAUCACUUGAACCCGGGAGGCAGAGGUUACAGUGAACUGAGAUCAUGCCAAUGCACUCCUGUCUCCAGUGACAGAAUGAGACUUGGUCUUAAAAAGAGAGAGAGAAAGAGAGAGAGAGAGAGAUGCAAAUCAAAACUACAAUGAGAUACCAUCUCAUGCCAGUCAGAAUGGCGAUUAUUAAAAAGUCGAGAAACAACAGAUGCUAGCAAGGUUGUGGAAGAAAAGGAAUGCUUUUACACUGUUGGUGGGAAUGUGAAUGUUCAAUCAUUGUGGAAGUGUGACAAUUCCUCAAAGAUCUAGAAGCAGAAAUAUCAUUUGACCCAGCAAUCCCAUUAUUGGGUAUAUACCCAAAGGAUUAUAAAUCAUUCUAUUAUAAAGAUACGUGCAUGCAUAUGUUCAUUGCAGCACUAUUCACAAUGGCAAAGACACAAAAUCAACCUAAAUGUCCAUCAAUGAUAGACUAGAUAAAGAAAAUGUGGUACAUAUACAUUAUGGAAUACUGUGCAGCCAUAAAAAGGAAUGAGAUCACAUCCUUUGCAGGGACACGGAUGAAGUUGGGAGCCGUUAUCCUCAACAAACUAACACAGGAACAGAAAACCAAACACCGUAUGUUCUCACUUAUAAGUGGGAGCGUAACGAUGAGAAUACGUGAACACAUGGGGAGAAACAACACACGUGGGAGCUUGUUGAGGGGGCAGGGAGAGGGAAAGUAUCAGGAAGACCAGCUAAUGGAUGCUGGGCUUAAUACCUAGGUGAGGGGUUGAUCUGCGCAGCAAAUCAUAAUGGCACAUGUUUACCUGUGUAACAAACCUGUACAUCCUGCACAUGUACCCUGGAACUUAAACAUUGAUGAAAAAAAUUACAAAAAUAAAAAGAAAGAAGUGUGUUGUUUAAUCUCCAAAUAUUUUGCGAUUUUCCUAGCUAUUUUUCUGUUAUCAAUUUCUAGUUUAAUUCCACUGUGGUCUCAGAACAUACUUCAUAUGAGUUCUAUUCUUUUAAAUUUGUUAAGGGGUGUUUUAUAAUCCAGAAUUUGUUCUAUCUUGGUGACUGUUCUGUAUAAGCUUAAGAAGAAUAUAUAUUCUGCUGUUGUUGGAAGAAGUAUUCUAUAAAUGUCAAUAAGAUCUAGGUGAUUGAUGGUGCUGUUUGGUUCAAUUAUGUCAUUACUUUUUUCCUGCCUACUGGAUCUGUCAAUUAGUGAUAGAAGGUUGUUGACUUCCCCAACUAAAAUAGUGGAUUUAUUUGUUACUCCUAGAAAUUCUGUAAAUUUUUACCUCAUGUAUUUUAAUGCUUUUUUGUUAGGUGCCUGUACAUUAAGGGCUGUUAUGUCUUCUUGGAGAAUUGACCCCUUUACCAUUAUGUAGUACACCUCCUUAUUCCUGAUCAUUUGUAUGGUUCUGAAGUCUGCUUUGUCAAGAUUAAUAUAGCUACUUCAGCUUCCUCUUGAUUAGUGUUAGCACGGUAUAUCUUUCUCUAUUCCUUCAUAUUAAUUUAUCUGUAUCAUUAUGUCUAAAGUGGGUUUCUCGUAUACAAUAUAUUGUUGGUUCUU